rnacentral:rRNA from 1 species
AACAGAGUUUGAUCCUGGCUCAGGAUGAACGCUGGCGGCGUGCUUAACACAUGCAAGUCGAACGAUGAAGCCCAGCUUGCUGGGCGGAUUAGUGGCGAACGGGUGAGUAACACGUGAGUAACCUGCCCUUGACUCUGGGAUAAGCCCGGGAAACUGGGUCUAAUACCGGAUAGGAGCGCCUGUCGCAUGACGGGUGCUGGAAAGAUCUUUCGGUCAUGGAUGGACUCGCGGCCUAUCAGCUUGUUGGUGAGGUAACGGCUCACCAAGGCGACGACGGGUAGCCGGCCUGAGAGGGUGACCGGCCACACUGGGACUGAGACACGGCCCAGACUCCUACGGGAGGCAGCAGUGGGGAAUAUUGCACAAUGGGCGAAAGCCUGAUGCAGCGACGCCGCGUGAGGGAUGACGGCCUUCGGGUUGUAAACCUCUUUCAGCAGGGAAGAAGCGAAAGCGACGGUACCUGCAGAAGAAGCACCGGCUAACUACGUGCCAGCAGCCGCGGUAAUACGUAUGGUGCGAGCGUUAUCCGGAAUUAUUGGGCGUAAAGAGCUCGUAGGCGGUUUGUCACGUCUGUCGUGAAAGUCCGGGGCUUAACCCCGGAUCUGCGGUGGGUACGGGCAGACUAGAGUGCAGUAGGGGAGACUGGAAUUCCUGGUGUA